rnacentral:sRNA from 1 species
UCAUUUCAUCCCUUUAAUUAAUAGCUUGUCAUCAAAAUGAAAGGCAAAACUUUUACUAAUUUGUGUUAUUUGUGAGCGUACAAAUAGAGGAUCCAAACCGGUUAUAUCUAUAUUUCAGUUCUGAUAAAUAAGAUGAAAGAAUAACUUUUCAAUCGGCAUGGAGGAAUCUUUUGAUCGCUUUGGAAGCAAUCUUGAUAGUUGGCGUUUUUGUUGUGACGGCUUGUUUAUGGAAAUGGGCUUUGACAUGCGGGGUAAUUGUAGUUGCUUGACACAUAGCCUACUUGAUUAUGAUUUUUGAAUUUGUCAUUCGUGGUCAGAGUCGGUCCAAAGACUAAUCAUGUUUAAAGCUCAACAAAAUUUGAUGUCCAUUUACAACAAAUAAAAAUAGAAAAUUGUUUUAAUAUUUUCGAUUACCAAGGAUCGAACCAAUCACUUUCUACCUUCAAAGCAC